AUAUGUUUUGCUCUUGCCGGAUUAUUGUUUUAUACUGAAUUUUUGACUCUGUGAUCAACAUCCAAAGCAGGCCUGUUAAAUGUACGAAGCCCAUGUAUUUUCCCCUGUAUAAACGUCUUCCAAGUCUGAGGUCAAUGCAGAAGUCAAGCCUGAAGCUGCCUAGGGCGCUCAUGUGAAUUUUGGUUAUAUGUUUAUACUAGGUUUUUUCAUAAAAAAUAAGGUUAGUAGUGAUUGGUAUCAUCAUUGAUUUUUUUUUUUGACAUCUCGGGGGCGUUAAGACCCCAAGAAAGAAAAGAAAUUAUAGAACAAAGUAAUCUAUGUAGUUAUUAGAGUAGCCUAUAUCACAAGUAACUGCAUUUCUUGAAUCAAAUAUGAACCUGAGCCAGACUUUUAUAUGCCUUGUUAACCCAGUGCCUGAUACUGUUAUGCUCUCAAGCAAGGUUGGCCUACUGAAUCUGCAUCUAAUAUGAGCUGAAGCGAAGCUGGAAUUGGAUCUUUAUGAUCAAUAUCAAUAUCCUUCUCCCAAGCAUUUCCGGCGAUCCAGUCUGCGGCUUGAGUAGCUAAAUUUAGCUUUUUGG
rnacentral:lncRNA from 1 species